CAGGGUAUGUGACAGAAUGGAAAGAAACUUAAGGGAAGAUUCUCGUGACAGACCUACAGGUAAGACAGAGGGAGCUACAGACUGACAUGAAAGACUUUAAAAAAAGCAUCCAAUGGAGUAAGAAAAAACCCUGUAAAGAAAUAGAACCUGUGAUAAGAUUCAGAAAUAAAAGCAAUCAUCUGAAUGUAAUAGCAAGUUACAAAGUUACUGUUCUUCAUACUGCUGCUCUAUUUAGACAGAAGACCACAAUGAACAACAAAAUUGCACACUUCUGGUGGUGAAAAAGGCAAACUAGGAGACUCUUCACCAAUGACCACCAAGACUCCAGCCCAGUACAAAUCAGGGGCCAUCCAGGAAUACAGAUAAAACACCCCUGGAGGAUUUUAAUGGGAGUUGUCUCCACACUGAGAACACACUAAACCAAAAGACUCAGUCUGAAAGAAGACAGGCUGUGGUCUAGAUUUCUCAACUUUCGUAUGUUUACAUCAACAGAAAAGCAACCACUAGACCAAAGAAGAAUGAUUUGAGACGUCAAGGGAAUGGAGUUUCACUUUCCUGACCUCCAUUUAUUAAGCAAUAGUGAUGAACAAAGCAAAAUAGACAAUUUGGAAACAAUGGCAAGGACUUCCUAAAAUAAUUAUGUCUGGCCUACCACUAUAGGUAUAUAAACUUGAGAAAAAGAUUUGAUACAAUACAGUCUCCUGUAGAUUUCCCCUUUUAUAUUGUAUCCAACUCUCUCCAAGCAGUUAUAAAAAGAAUAUCCCAACCACUUUGCUUCCAUGUUCUUAUCUGAAAAAUGUCAUCUGGCAUGAACUAAGAUAACAUGUAGGAAGCACUUAAAAUACCUGCCACAACAAACAUUGCUGUUCUCUAUCUUCACUUCCCAUCAGAGAGGAUCAAUCCACUGAGGAGAGGCUACCUAAUUAGAAACCAUCUAAUUUAUCAAAUCUUCUAAAGUGAUGCACAUUGAUGUUGAGCAGCCAUCACUAACAAAACAAUGAAAAUAAUUAUUAACAUGUAUUGUUUAUUGCUAUAGAUCCACCAUUUAGGGAUUAAAUAGGUAUCAGUUUGAAUUUUGAUAAAAUAAUACACACAUAGCCAACACUCAAAUCUUAACGUGAAACUAGGCUCUAAAACCCAUAGAAAGGAUGGGAGGGUACCAAAGAGAAAACAGCAAGAUUUAUA